UACGUAGGGUGCGAGCGUUGUCCGGAAUUAUUGGGCGUAAAGAGCUCGUAGGUGGCGGGUCACGUCGGGUGUGAAAGCCCGGGGCUUAACUCCGGGUCUGCAUUCGAUACGGGUCUGCUGGGGUCCGGCAGGGGAGACUGGAAUUCCUGGUGUAGCGGUGAAAUGCGCAGAUAUCAGGAGGAACACCGGUGGCGAAGGCGGGUCUCUGGGCCGGUACCGACGCUGAGGCGCGAAGGCGUGGGGAGCGAACAGG
rnacentral:rRNA from 1 species